AUCUCAUAAAGAGUUGUGGGAGGGACAAGCCCGAUGAACACACAGCAACCUACAUAUAUAUGCAAGGUGCUACAGCUUGAACGAUGGGUG
rnacentral:ncRNA from 2 species